GGCUGUGAAGAACAAUAUUCCCAACGCUUGGAAUGAAACAAAGUGAUUAUUUCCAAUCCUUAUCUGAGCCCA
rnacentral:snoRNA from 16 species